AGGAAAAAAUGAAAAAAGAGAAAAAAAAGAAAAAAAUAAAAAAAAUCUGACAUUGUAAGAGGCUCUCUUUAUUGCAUAGAAGCGUUGCACACUUAAUUGUUGGGACUCGUGGAUACUUGAAAGAAGUACCCAUGCUCAUAAAGCGCAUCAACUUAUGAAUUGGUGCAAGAAUCAUAUUCUUGUAUGUUGAGAUUGAAAAGUUCGUCCGAAGAGGAUGCAUUGGGAAUGCAACCGGGACCUGGUGAAGCUCGUGUUUUAUAUCUUGCCAGGUGGAUUUGGAGAUGAUCUGAAUCUGAAUUAUAUUGUGGGCAUGUUCUUGUUCAGGUGGCUGACAUUUCUGAUGAAUUGGGGAAGAAGCGUCGUCAGUGUGUUAUAUCCGGGGAAAAAGAGCAUGAAAAAGCUGAGAAAAAUACAGCUAUACAUCAACUACUCAACCACUGCAGAUAAAGAUAGUUACAAGUGCAUAUCUGUAGCAGAAACUAUCGCUUAAGACUGUGUUUUGGAGACUGCGAUGAAAGGCCAACAGUUUCAGCACAGAAACUUGUUGCUACAUGGUUCGUGGAAAUGGUUGGUGGAUUCAUUUGCAUCUUUUCUGGAGUUUUAGAUGCAUACACAAAGCUCAGAUACCUUUCAUACGUUAUGGAUAUCUCCACAGCAACAGUAGAUUAUCUUGAUUUGGUGCACGACAUUCUGCUGCCCGUGGUAAUCAAAGACAAAAGUAAGCACACAUUGAGUCACUAAGAGGCCAGUUUUCUGGGAGAAGUUUCUGUUUCUGUUCAAAUUGAGCAGAUGCUCACUCUGGUCUUCGAGAAUUUCAAGUAACUUGAUGAAUCAUCGAUGUCGGGUAUUAAGAUGUAUUCGGACCUGCAACAGGAUUGGCUGCACCUGCACUUGAUCCAGCUUUGAAGCUCUACAAAUGGUUGCAUGAUAUUCUUUCCCCGAGAUUGCUACGAGAAAAAGGUCAAUCAGGCACUUGUUUGAAAUUGAUGAGUUCUUUUCGACUAAUAACGAAAACAUGUUAUUGGAUCCCGUGGCUGUCUCCACAGCAUAUAUGAAAGGAAAAACUAAUGCAUGGGUCUCAAGAUGUGAAGGUAGCAGUGAAAAACAAAGUUCCUCUUGUAAGGUCGUUGACUUGAGCUGUGUUACAUUCUGUAUUGAAACAAGUAACACAGCGACCAUACCUAAGGUUCACGAGGAAUAUGUUCCCUCAUUUAUUUUGGAGUGGUCUAGGCAACUGGUAUGCUGUUUUAUCUUAUGAUGCAUCUGUCCGCCUAUGCCUCCACUCGUGGGCAAGGAGCUAUAUGAGAGCUCCUCCCUUUUUGGAAAUG